ACUCCUACGGGAGGCAGCAGUGGGGAAUAUUGCACAAUGGGCGCAAGCCUGAUGCAGCCAUGCCGCGUGUAUGAAGAAGGCCUUCGGGUUGUAAAGUACUUUCAGCAGUGAGGAAGGUGGGUAUGUUAAUAGCAUACUCAUUUGACGUUAGCUGCAGAAGAAGCACCGGCUAACUCCGUGCCAGCAGCCGCGGUAAUACGGAGGGUGCGAGCGUUAAUCGGAAUUACUGGGCGUAAAGCGCAUGCAGGUGGUUUGUUAAGUCAGAUGUGAAAGCCCGGGGCUCAACCUCGGAAUUGCAUUUGAAACUGGCAAACUAGAGUACUGUAGAGGGGGUAGAAUUUCAGGUGUAGCGGUGAAAUGCGUAGAGAUCUGAAGGAAUACCGGUGGCGAAGGCGGCCCCCUGGACAGAUACUGACACUCAGAUGCGAAAGCUGGGGAGC
rnacentral:rRNA from 1 species